rnacentral:misc_RNA from 1 species
GAUGAAGAACGUAGCGAAAUGCGAUAAGUAGUGUGAAUUGCAGAAUUCAGUGAAUCAUCGAAUCUUUGAACGUACAUUGCGCCCCUCGGUAUUCCGUGGGGCAUGCCUGUUCGAGCGUCAUUUAACCCCUCAAGCCUAGCUUGGUAUUGGGUGCUUGUCCCGCCUCUCGCGCGGCGACUCACCUCAAAGUCAUUGGCAGCCCGCAUCUCGCCGGCCGUGAGCGCAGCACAGACGCGCUCUUGGCAACGACGGAUCGGCUCUCCAAAAGCUUAUUUCAACCACUGACCUCGGAUCAGGUAGGGAUACCCGCUGAACUUAAGCAUAUCAAUAAGCGGAGGA